GUUUAAAUGUCCUAAUUGGUUAUUGUGAUUCUCUGUAAAUGAAGAGGUCAUGAGUUCUACUCAUGUUGCUCA
rnacentral:tRNA from 1 species